rnacentral:rRNA from 1 species
GAUGAACGCUGGCGGCGUGCCUAAUACAUGCAAGUCGAGCGAACGGACGAGAAGCUUGCUUCUCUGAUGUUAGCGGCGGACGGGUGAGUAACACGUGGAUAACCUACCUAUAAGACUGGGAUAACUUCGGGAAACCGUAGCUAAUACCGGAUAAUAUUUUGAACCGCAUGGUUCAAAAGUGAAAGACGGUCUUGCUGUCACUUAUAGAUGGAUCCGCGCUGCAUUAGCUAGUUGGUAAGGUAACGGCUUACCAAGGCAACGAUGCAUAGCCGACCUGAGAGGGGGAGCGGCCACACUGGAACUGAGACACGGUCCAGACUCCUACGGGAGGCAGCAGGAGGGAAUCUUCCGAAAUGGGCGAAAGCCGGACGGAGCAACGCCGGGGGAGUGAUGAAGGUCUUCGGAUCGUAAAACUCUUUUAUUAGGGAGGAACAUAUGUGUAAGUAACUGUGCACAUCUUGACGGUACCUAAUCAGAAAGCCACGGCUAACUACGUG